rnacentral:sRNA from 1 species
GUAGUCCCAGCCACUCAGGAGGCUGAGGCAGGAGGAUCAUCAGAGCCUGGGAGGUCAAGGCUGCAGUGAGCUGUGGGCGACAAGAGUGAGACCCUGUAUCAAAAAAAGGAGACCUGAGGAGGGCCUUGAGCAGAUACAUCUCCUCUCUCAUCCACUCAGGUGGCCACUAACACGGACACCAGCCGAAAUGCCGGAAAUGCGGUCCUGUUUGAGACAGUACUCACCAUCAUGGAUAUCCGCUCUGCAGCUGGCCUACGGGUAUCACCCCUUAUGCCUCUCCCACUACGGCCCCGCCCACCACCUCACCCACACAGGUCCUGCUUGCUGGUUUCUCCCUCCUAGCCCCAUCAUCUUGCGCCAGUGUGUUCCCAGUCCUCAAUGGCUGAGCAGGUUGCUCCUUUCCUGACUGACCCCAACUUCUGCCUCUCAUAGGUUCUAGCUGUCAACAUUCUUGGCCGCUUCCUACUCAACAGUGACAGGAACAUUAGGACAGGACGGGGAGUGGGGGCUGAUGGCCAUGGUAUGAUAGAACCUCCCCCAUCCUGACCAGGUAUGUAGCCCUGACAUCACUGCUUCGACUGGUGCAGUCUGAUCACAGUGCUGUGCAGCGGCAUCGGCCCACUGUGGUGGAAUGUCUACGGGAAACUGAUGCCUCCCUCAGCCGGUGAGCAGUGA